CAGCCGCCGCGGUAAAACAGAGGGUGCAAGCGUUAAUCGGAAUUACUGGGCGUAAAGCGCGCGUAGGUGGUUUGUUAAGUUGGAUGUGAAAUCCCCGGGCUCAACCUGGGAACUGCAUCCAAAACUGGCAAGCUAGAGUAUGGUAGAGGGUGGUGGAAUUUCCUGUGUAGCGGUGAAAUGCGUAGAUAUAGGAAGGAACACCAGUGGCGAAGGCGACCACCUGGACUGAUACUGACACUGAGGUGCGAAAGCGUGGGGAGCAAACAGGAUUAGAUACCCGCGUAGUCCCUGUCUCUUAUAC
rnacentral:rRNA from 1 species